rnacentral:rRNA from 1 species
AACGAACGCUGGCGGCAUGCCUAACACAUGCAAGUCGAACGAGACCUUCGGGUCUAGUGGCGCACGGGUGCGUAACGCGUGGGAACCUGCCCUUAGGUUCGGAAUAACUCCCCGAAAGGGGUGCUAAUACCGGAUAAUGUCUUCGGACCAAAGAUUUAUCGCCUUUGGAUGGGCCCGCGUUCGAUUAGCUAGUUGGUAGGGUAAAAGCCUACCAAGGCGACGAUCCAUAGCUGGUCUGAGAGGAUGAUCAGCCACACUGGGACUGAGACACGGCCCAGACGCCUACGGGAGGCAGCAGUGGGGAAUAUUGGACAAUGGACGAAAGCCUGAUCCAGCAAUGCCGCGUGAGUGAUGAAGGCCUUAGGGUUGUAAAGCUCUUUUACCCGGGAUGAUAAUGACAGUACCGGGAGAAUAAGCUCCGGCUAACUCCGUG